UACAGAGGUCUCAAGCGUUGUUCGGAAUUACUGGGCGUAAAGCGUAUGCAGGCGGAUCGUUAAGUCGGGGGUGAAAUCCCGAGGCUCAACCUCGGAACUGCCUUCGAUACUGGCGAUCUUCGAGUCCGGGAGAGGUGAGUGGAACUCCGAGUGUAGAGGUGAAAUUCGUAGAUAUGCGGAGGAACACCGAUGGCGAAGGCAGCCUCCUGGGAUAACACUGACGCUCAUGCACGAAAGCGUGGGGAGCAAACAGG
rnacentral:rRNA from 1 species